GGUCCAUUGUUAUUAUUUACAAAACACCAGCCUAAGGUAAGGAAGCUGAGAGGCUCAGAGAUGUCAAGCAGCUCGGCCAAGGUCACACAACAUGUACCAGCUGGUGCCUACCACGGCAGUCUAAUCAGUAGACAGUGCAGACAGCCCCAACAGGACCAGGAGAGAACUGUGCCCAGGGCCGGAUUUCUCCCUCCACAGUGGAAGAGAAGCAGCCAAGUAUUACAGCCAGCCCAGCUCCUUGGGCCGCAGAGAUCAUCUCAGGAGGCCUUUCUAAACGGAGUGCCCUGGGGAAGCAAACUCUAAACGUCCUCGUACGAGAAGACAUUAGGUGAGACCAGGCUGACCACAGUGUCCCUGUCAGCACUGCCCUCGUCCCUGGGGGUCACCUAAUGUCUUGCUCCCCUGCCCCCACACUCCAGUUGAUAUCACUGCUGUAAUCAGGGAAAUCUCUGAGCUCUUUUUCUGGGAGGGCAUUUCCGAGGGGCCAAGGAGCUGCGGAUUGGAGGAGCACCAGCAGCACAGGGCAUGCCCCUGCUCCCUACCCAGAAGCUGGAAAGUACCAUGUCAGGUUUGGGGUCUUCAGUGAAAUCUGUCAAGCAGCGUCUUUGGCACUGGGGCAAAGUUAGGAUGAGGUGGCUUCCCUCUUGAUUACUACAGCAGCUGUCUAUGGCUGACUGUCCCCAGGAGCCUGUUU
rnacentral:lncRNA from 1 species